GUCCAUGUAGGGACAUUCAAUAAGAUUGGAACGAUACAGAGAAGAUUAGCAUAGUCUGUGCACAAGGAUGACCUGCAUAAAUUGAGGAGUGGUCCAAAUUUUU